UACGGGGGGAGCAAGCGUUGUUCGGAUUUACUGGGCGUAAAGCGUGCGCAGGCGGUUAUGUAAGACAGAUGUGAAAUCCCCCGGGCUCAACCUGGGAACUGCAUUUGUGACUGCAUAGCUUGAGUGCGGCAGAGGGGGAUGGAAUUCCGCGUGUAGCGGUGAAAUGCGUAGAUAUCGAGAGGAACACCUGCGGCGAAGGCGGGUUGCUGGGCUGAUACUGACGCUGAGGCGCGAAAGCCAGGGGAGCGAACGGGG
rnacentral:rRNA from 1 species